rnacentral:tRNA from 1 species
GGAGGUGUGGCCGAGUGGUUUAAGGCACUGGUCUUGAAAACCAGCGAAGGGGCAACCCUUCCGUGAGUUCGAAUCUCACCGCCUCCGCCA